UCGAUGUAUUCUUAUGAUCAAAGAACUAGCUCCGACAGAUGAAUCGGAGAUAGAGACUGAGAAUUAAGGUAGACCUUCUUUGCACUUGACGAGAGGUACCUACCAGCAAUCACAUCCCAGAUCACAAGCAAUUGAAACAGCACUUUUGACUCAGGUCCAAACCUUUGGAAAUAAGCACUAAUCAUACACAAACCUUCCCCUAGGCCCGUACAGUACUCACAUCCGUCGCAAUCGACGCAGCCACAGGCUCUCCCUCUCCACUUGCUGCCGCCGUGGGGAAACCACGGCGCACAAAAGGUCGCAACGGCGGUUGUGACGGACCGCAGCACGCUGGGGCUUCAUGCGGACGGUGAGGCGUUCCCCGGCACCCGAUAAACGCCUUCGAAGAACUUUGGGGAAGUACUGAAACUGGAAGAGGGGAUAAAAAGCUCACCUUUUGUCUUCACGGCAGGCGUUGGAAGGGGCGGUGGCGCAGGGUAGACACGGCGGCCGGCACGGGACAAGAAAAUUCGCCGCAGAAGCGAGAGGAGAGAAAGAAAGGUUAUUUCGGAGGCUAAGUUGGACAAUUUCCGAAGUCUUGAAGGCUUCGUUAGUACCAAAAUCCAAGAGCAGCUUGAAGGCUGCAGGGGAAGGGCAUAAAGGUCCGAGCUAUCUCGACAUGUGUCGGUCUAUUUUGAAGAAGGAUUUGAAGAAUUGAAGAAGAUGAAGGAGCUUGGUUACUUCGGCGACAAGGUUAAAGUGCGGCUUGCUGGUGACGAGGCAACCCCGAAGACGAAGAGCAAGGAGGUUGUAGUUUUUAGAAACUUCUUCUGAGCCAGCCUUCGGCUGUCGAUGUUGGAUGAUAGCGAAGGUUUUACAGAAGUAUCAGAUUUCGUAUUUAACA